GAGGGUUUUUGCGCCAACUAGGUUUCCUUCCCCUUUAAACUAAUUGCUCAAAGCCUCAACUAGCUGUGUCCAGACUUGAUCUACACUAAUGCUGUCCACAUUUUAAUAAUCACCACCCCUAUGCAGAGCUUCCAUUUUCUGUAUUAAUUAUACUGGUGCAUCAGGGGUAUGUUUUGGUAGAAUGAGUGUGGUAUUUAAGGGGGUCUUCACAAAAUGCACAUAGUCAAUUUUUGAUUUUCUUAAUUUAUACGCUCUACUUAAACAGUCCCCUAGUUAUACAAUUACAUAAGUUGUGAGUGAUUUUAUGGGCUUUGCAAAUAAAUUGAUUUCCUACAAACUUGGCACCCAAUAUACAGGCUUAAGGGGUUAUGUAAUAAAAGGCACUAAGUUUGCCCAGGAGCAGUAACCCAUAGCAACCAAUCAGCAGGUAGAAUUUACCAGUCACCUGUUUAAAAGCAAACAGCUUAUUGGUUGCUAUGGGCAAAAAAUACUGAAGUUUCACAUUGACACUCAAACUGAUUACAAAUGAUAAAUAACAACAAGGGGUUGGUGGUGGUGGUGGUGGUGGGGGUAUUUGGAGUGUUCAGUAAGGUCUGGAAUGAUAAGGAGGGGAGGUACUCAUCUAUCCAAGGGUUCCAAACCCUUUCAAAUGAUUUGGGACAACCUCUAUGGAAAUAUGUUUGUUGAUACAAGGGACGAAUAACCAGUUCAGGCAUUACUUGACCUAACGUUAUCUGACCUAACAAUACAUGUAUUAAGCAUACAAAUUAGAUGUGUUAUAUUGACAUCUAGUGGCCAUUGUUAGUUGUAUUCCUUUUAGUCAUUGGUGUACCCAACCCAGCAGGACACACAGCACUGAUUUAUAUAUCUGCCCCACCUUGUACCUUCUCUGAUAUCUUAAGAGGGUGGCAGGUGAAUGUGAGAAUAUAAACAACCACCAGCUGACACUUCUGGGGUUUGGCAUGGACUAUUGAGAUCAUGGGAGUGGCUGGGUGCUGGAGAAUUCAGCCAGUGACCCUUCUCUGGAGGCAAUUGGUUGUCUGAAUCAAUCCAAAUUGUGGCUAAAUCUGAGGGUCUUGCAGUUCCCAUGCUGACCCAAACAUCACUAAUUCCUUUCAUAACAGUGUUGUUCCUUCAUAAGGACAUUUUUUAAUGAACUUUAAAAUGUAUAGUAAGUCAUUUUGUAAAACAUUUGCCAUAACCUCUGCAAUUUAAAGUUAAGUAGAAGUUUUGACAAGCAGGGCAAAAUUAUGGCAGUGCAAAACUUUAAAGUUUGAGCAAUGUAUCAAAAAGUUGUCACGGCAAAAGUUGCAGUGAAAAAACAACUUUAGACAACAACGUAGUUUGUGCUUAAAUAUAGUAUCUGCUGAGAAAAAUUCACAUGGUCUUAAAUACGUUCUGUCCAUUUUUGGUGUUUCACAAUUUUUUCUGCAGUUUCACAAUUUGUUACAGGUUAUCGCAAGUGGGGGAUGCAGGUAUUAGCACUGGACUAGCCACAAACCAGUUAAGUAAUCCAGAAACAAUUGAAGAGCCAAUACCUUGAAUGCAGCAAACAUGGUGAACCCAAAUUUAUUACGUGGUGCUCCAGACACUUUACACACGUUCAAAGGUUUCAGGACCACAUGUCCCUUCCUCAGUGACUAAAUGCCUAAUAUUUCUAUUUGAUAAUCCUAUGUAUGCAUGAUUCCUAAAUUCUCAUGACUAUGCAGUUUCCACAUCUACACCACAGUGUUGUGCCAAGGCGUUGCUUUAAAUUCUUUGUAGACAUAGAUCACAAAGCAUAUUCCAUACUGGUUCAUUUAUAAAGCAUGGUGGGUUGUCUUGCCCUUGGAAUUGCUAUAUAACAAUUAGGCAUCUUAUCUGCCCAUGUAUGGGACGUUCCGUCAGGUCUCCCUGAACAAUUUCCGGCCAAAAAUCUGGCAGUUAUUGAUUAGGCAGCUUUACUUUUUUUUCCCCAUUUCCUUCAUUGUAAUCUGAUCGUUUGUCCCUAGGGCCAAACAAUCAGAUUAACCCGAUAUCGCCCUGACUUUGGUGGGCAUAUCAAGUUAAGAUCUGCUCUUUUGGAGACCUUGCAAAGUGGCUCUUGUUAACCUUGACUGGGAUAGGGACCUUAGGUUAUAAGAUCCAAUGGAGCAGAAACUGAUGUAAAUAAUUUAUAACCUCUGAAAAACGCUGCAGAAUAUGUUGACGCUAGAUAGAUAUAUAGAUGUGGGCAGGGGCAUAACUAGGGUGCACCGGAAAAAAAAUCCUCAGAGGGGCCCAGCACACUCCGAUCCCCAGCCUCCCACCUCCGCCCACUUCCUGCCUCUGCCUACUUCCCACCCUGAUUCCAUCCACUCUCUGUCGGACUUCACCACGUGUCUCUGCUUCCCCGCUGCAGGUCCUGUGCAUGGGAGCAGAACAGAAUGACUUACCACUUGAGUAUUGGAAGAUGCUGCAAGACAUAGAAACCAACAACUUCUCUGGCCAUAUUCCUAUCAUGGACCAGCUAAAAGAUGCAACUGAGAAACUGCAAAGUGCUUUGUAUCAGUAAUGGAAAUGAAGAGAAACUGAACUUACUGUCAGCCUCUGACCUGUUGUGAAAGAGACUGGACAACAAUUGUAAAACAAGCGACUUCCUUCAGGGACUGGGUGGUUCAUUUGAUCUUUAUUUGCUUGGAAAUCAAAAAGAAUCAUUAUACAUCAUUUUAUUGAUAGGUUUCCCCUCUGGGGACACUAGAGGGGGUCAUUUAUCAGUCAUGGUGCAGUUGCAGAAAUUGUGCACCCUGUAUCGUGGGUGAGCAAGCACACCUGCACUUUCUGCAGAAAUACAGCACUCACUAUAUAACAGCAGUUUUUUAUAUAAUUCAUUCUCUAAGUAACUUUACACAUACGUAACUGCGUCUGUUAUGGAUGUUAUUUAUUUGUGAGACAGAUUGCUGUUUAAAAUGUACAGAAUAUAACAGAAUGUACAGUAAUAUAAUGGUAUCCUUUUGUGUUCUCAUACUUUAAUAGAAAUAAAUAUUUUGUGUAUUUGU